rnacentral:rRNA from 1 species
ACCUGGUUGAUUCUGCCAGUAGUCAUAUGCUUGUCUCAAAGAUUAAGCCAUGCAUGUCUAAGUAUAAGCAAUUAUACCGUGAAACUGCGAAUGGCUCAUUAAAUCAGUUAUCGUUUAUUUGAUAAUACCUUACUACUUGGAUAACCGUGGUAAUUCUAGAGCUAAUACAUGCUGAAAAUCCCGACUUCGGAAGGGAUGUGUUUAUUAGAUAAAAAACCAAUGCCCUUCGGGGCUCCUUGGUGAUUCAUAAUAACUUUACGGAUCGCAUAGCCUUGCGCUGGCGACGGUUCAUUCAAAUUUCUGCCCUAUCAACUUUCGAUGGUAAGGUAUUGGCUUACCAUGGUUUCAACGGGUAACGGGGAAUUAGGGUUCGAUUCCGGAGAGGGAGCCUGAGAAACGGCUACCACAUCCAAGGAAGGCAGCAGGCGCGCAAAUUACCCAAUCCCGAUUCGGGGAGGUAGUGACAAUAAAUACUGAUACAGGGCUCUUUUGGGUCUUGUAAUUGGAAUGAGUACAAUUUAAACCUCUUAACGAGGAACAAUUGGAGGGCAAGUCUGGUGCCAGCAGCCGCGGUAAUUCCAGCUCCAAUAGCGUAUAUUAAAGUUGUUGCAGUUAAAAAGCUCGUAGUUGAAACUUGGGUCUGGCUGGCGGGUCCGCCUCACCGCGUGCACUCGUCCGGCCGGGCCUUCCUUCUGAAGAACCUCAUGCCCUUUACUGGGCGUGUUGGGGAAUCAGGACUUUUACUUUGAAAAAAUUAGAGUGUUCAAAGCAGGCCUUUGCUCGAAUACGUUAGCAUGGAAUAAUAAAAUAGGGCGUGCGUUUCUAUUUUGUUGGUUUCUAGAGACGCCGCAAUGAUUAACAGGAACAGUCGGGGGCAUCAGUAUUCAGUUGUCAGAGGUGAAAUUCUUGGAUUUACUGAAGACUAACUACUGCGAAAGCAUUUGCCAAGGAUGUUUUCAUUAAUCAGUGAACGAAAGUUAGGGGAUCGAAGACGAUCAGAUACCGUCGUAGUCUUAACCGUAAACUAUGCCGACUAGGGAUCGGGCGAUGUUCUUUUUCUGACUCGCUCGGCACCUUACGAGAAAUCAAAGUUUUUGGGUUCUGGGGGGAUUAUGGUCGCAAGGCUGAAACUUAAAGAAAUUGACGGAAGGUCACCACCAGGCGUGGAGCCUGCGGCUUAAUUUGACUCAACACGGGGAAACUCACCAGGUUCAGAUGAAAUAAGGAUUGACAGAUUGAGAGCUCUUUCUUGAUUUUUCAGGUGGUGGUGCAUGGCCGUUCUUAGUUCGUGGGGUGACUUGUCUGCUUAAUUGCGAUAACGAGCGAGACCUUACUCUGCUAAAUAGCCAGGCUAGCUUUGGCUGGUCGCCGGCUUCUUAGAGAGACUAUCAACUCAAGUUGAUGGAAGUUUGAGGCAAUAACAGGUCUGUGAUGCCCUUAGAUAUUCUGGGCCGCACGCGCGCUACACUGACAGAGCCAACGAGUUCUUUCCCUUGGCCGAAAGGUCUGGGUAAUCUUGUUAAACUCUGUCGUGCUGGGGAUAAAGCAUUGCAAUUAUUGCUUUUCAACGAGGAAUGCCUAGUAAGCGCGUGUCAUCAGCAUGCGUUGAUUACGUCCCUGACCUUUGUACACACCGCCCGUCGCUACUACCGAUUGAAUGGCUCAGUGAGGCCUUCGGACUGGCUCGGGGAGGUUGGCAACGACCACCCCAAGCCGGAAAGUUGGUCAAACUCGGUCAUUUAGAGGAAGUAAAAGUCGUAACAAGGUCUCCGUAGGUGAACCUGCGGAGGGAUCAUUA